rnacentral:rRNA from 1 species
UACGUAGGGGGCAAGCGUUGUCCGGAAUCAUUGGGCGUAAAGCGCGUGUAGGCGGUUCAGUAAGUCUGCUGUGAAAGUCCAGGGCUCAACCCUGGGAUGCCGGUGGAUACUGCUGGGCUAGAGUACGGAAGAGGCGAGUGGAAUUCCCGGUGUAGCGGUGAAAUGCGCAGAUAUCGGGAGGGACACCAAUUGCGAAGGCAGCUCGCUGGGACGUUACUGACGCUGAGACGCGAAAGCGUGGGGAGCAAACAGG